UGGCACUUAAGGGCUUGCAGUUUGUGACUGCCAAAGUUGCCGCUGAUGGUGCGGCUGCUGUGGAGAAAUCAUUCAAUCACCUACACGUUGAUGGUGUCCUGCUCCGUUCCAGGUUUGGGAAAUGCAUUGGGAUGAGGGAUGGAAGGGCCCGACGAGUUUGCAGUGCAGAUGUUCGAUUCACUGGCAAGGAAGAGAGGGACAGUGAAGUGCUGACCAAGGCGGAGCUGAAAGAGCUCUGGGAGCAACUCAGUCACCAGGGUUUCGACAAUCGUCACCAAACAUGCAUCGACAUGGUUGACAAAAUGCUGACGGAAGAAUCACAUCCGAGGAUGUUAAGGAGGACAGUCACAAGAACCCAAACUGAAAAUAUAGUCUUAGUGUGUAAAUGUGAAGCAUAUAUUCCGCUAU